rnacentral:rRNA from 1 species
AAGUUAAAGGCUGUGGCUUAACCAUAGUACGCUUNGGAAACUGUUUAACUUGAGUNCAAGAGGGGAGAGUGGAAUUCCAUGUGUAGCGGUGAAAUGCGUAGAUAUAUGGAGGAACACCGGUGGCGAAAGCGGCUCUCUGGCUNGUAACUGACGCUGAGGCUCGAAAGCGUGGGGAGCAANCAGGAUUAGAUACCCUGGUAGUCCACGCCGUAAACGAUGAGUGCUAGGUGUUAGACCCUUUCCGGGGUUUAGUGCCGCAGCUAACGCAUUAAGCACUCCGCCUGGGGAGUACGACCGCAAGGUUGAAACUCAAAGGAAUUGACGGGGGCCCGCACAAGCGGUGGAGCAUGUGGUUUAGUUCGAAGCAACGCGAAGAACCUUACCAGGUCUUGACAUCCCUCUGACCGCUCUAGAGAUAGAGGUUUCCUUCGGGACAGAGGUGACAGGUGGUGCAUGGUUGUCGUCAGCUCGUGUCGUGAGAUGUUGGGUUAAGUCCCGCAACGAGCGCAACCCCUAUUGUUAGUUGCCAUCAUUUAGUUGGGCAUUCUAGCGAGACUGCCGGUAAUAAACCGGAGGAAGGUGGGGAUGACGUCAAAUCAUCAUGCCCCUUAUGACCUGGGCUACACACGUGCUACAAUGGCUGGUACAACGAGUCGCAAGCCGGUGACGGCAAGCUAAACUCUUAAAGCCAAUCUCAGUUCGGAUUGUAGGCUGCAACU